GCGCACGCUUAUAUGCACUUGCGUGUGCGACGACGUGAGGCGAUCACGACGAUAUUAUAUUUGUUCACCGAAGGAAGGGAGGAGGAGCAGAGGACGGGUCCUUAUCCGCUGCGCAGCCGGCGACGACGUACGCUCCGCGUCCCUGCCGGCUAUUCGACCCGCUAGGCCGGUACCGGAGAGAGCCAACCAGCGGGAGCACCUGGACGCCCGCCCUCCUGCCGCCGCCCGAGUGGGAGCGCAGCGGCACGCACGUCUCCCCAGACCAGCUGACGCAGUUAUAGCACGAGGAGCGGCGGAUGCGGAGGCGCGACGAGCGCCGGACGCAGUCGCCCGCCACCCUACCCGCCCGUUCUUCGCCGCCGCGUUCCGCCGCCACCCCCCACCGGCGCCAGAGGCGCACGACGCACCGCCAGCGCCGCCGCAUGCGGCAGCGGCGCAAGUCCCCGAGGCGCCUACGCCGCCGGUGGUGCCGGAGGCAGCAGUCCCCCGACCACACCCACCGGCACCGCCGGAGCAACGUGCAGGUCGGCUGCUCCGGCCGGUCCCGGCACCGGCAAGAGACCACCUGCGAGAAGAGCGACGAGUAGUGGCGCAUGUUACGCCUCCAGGAACGGUACCCGAUACCCGAGCUGCAGCGCCUCCCACAGCGCACCCGCCAGUUGAAGGAGGAGGACGAGACGCGGGAGCCGAGCGACGAGGCCGCCUCGGCACCGACGGUCCUGCUGCUGCCGGACAGCCUCGGGAACUAACUGUUCCGUCAAGUGCUGAGCCUUGAGAUGGCCCGGCCGGACAAGUCGGUCGAGCGGAAGAGCACCGACUUGGGUGACGAGGCGGAGCCGGCGAGUUUUCGUGACCUGGAGCGGCUGUAGGGCGAGUAGCGGCCGCUCCUGACGCGUGUCGUUCGGAGUGUAUCCAAGAGACUCCGUACCUCGGCGGUGGCCGUCCUGUUCCGCGUCUCGCCCUCUAGGUUGUCCGAGCGGGAGCAGGACACGUUCACGAAGGAGUCCCUCUAGUACUAGCGGCCGAAGAUGCGGAAGUACUCUUGCGACCGGUAUCGGCAGCGGGGAUAUAACGAGAAACGCAAGCAUGCCAUGUCGAUGGUUCUUCUCUCCCUAGUGGCGCAACCAGACAGCGAGCAGCCGACGGACGAGCAGUAGUUCGAGCAGCUCAGCGACAGGGUCGCGGUAACCAAGAAGCUGAGGUCCUCCUGGCCCUACGCGUAGGCCAGGCGCGAUUACCGCCGGUAGAAAGUCUUCGUCGAGUUCGACAGGUCGGUCCCCUCCUUCUCGGUAAGUUGGCCCCUCUAUCAGUUGAUGUAACGGCAGCUGCGAAUGGCCGAGCCGCUACGAGAGUCGACCAAAGUGUACCGCACCUCGAGCGGCGAGGUCGAGCGGAAACGUCAUCCGUGCGAGAAAACCCGCGAGUCCGAGCCCCGCCAGGGCCCAGAUCAGGGGGACUAGUAGAAGCCGAAGGAGUUGUACGGCAAGCGUUUCGAAGACGUUCCCAUGGUCCGGUUCAAGUACCAACGUGUCCUACUAUCCGAGGCCAGGUGCAGGCUCCACGAGUUGUCGUACUUCUAGUAGUUCGACGUCAGUACCCUCCUCUUCAAGGCCCGGUACCAGCUCAGGGAGUCUUUGCGGCUCAAGUAUACCAACUCCCUCUGGGUCUACUUCUUCCGGAUGCCGCGGCAGUACAUGACCUACAGGGGCUGCCAGCAGAGACGCCACUACAUGUGGCGUUGCCGCUAGGACCCCUCACGGGGGGACUUACGGUCAUGGGAGAAGUGCCAGAACCGGUGGGACUCCCAGUACCGACUCGGCCACUCCAAGGAAGGACUCUAGGACUGUUACUACUAGGUCAUGUUCCACAGCGACCUGGCAUAGCUCUUUAAAGAGUAUCUUCUUCUCUAGUUUCUCCCACGGCUCUCCCGCGGAGGUGUAUUAAGACUAUAGUCCCAAGUACAGGUUCUACGUUUAAAGUCGACCUUACGCUCACGCCGGUUAAACUGCGAUUCCUUACAGUUGGAAUCGUAUUUGUUUCCUCUCUUCCACCGGCAGACACCGCGCCAACCGAGUCCUUUUAGAAGCGAGGAAAUACGUAAUGAAUCCCUCUAUGGAUCUUGUAGUCCUAGUCAACUGCAUAAACCUAGUGACCGUAUACAAAGUGUUUUAAGUACCUAUGUCUCACCGUGACAGGCGCUGUUAUAUGAGAAGCCUUUCGGGAAGCUGUUCCUUGACAUACUCUUCCGUUAGUUUAGAACACGAAACCUGUUCCUAUAUCUUUUAAAGUUAGUACCUCUGGAAUGCCUCUAGCCGGUCUCUCCCGAGUUGUACUCACCUCCGGUCUUCGUUUCCUAAGUUGAACGAUCUCGACAGAUAUCACUACGUCUAUAGAUGGAGGAUCUGCUGGGAAAGUCGCGCCAGCUACGCGUGUGACGACGUCAAGAAAAGAUACUAACACACUACUGGCGUGAAAGUCUCUUCUGGCAACAAGAACACUGCGUGGUUCAACUUAAAGACUGACUUUGGUUGUCCUAAGACCAUUACCUUCCGCCAGUCCAAUUUGUCGUUCCCUUUAUGCGUCUGGAUGACCUUAGGCCCUGGCGUAAGCUCUUCGAUCAAAGCCGUGUAGUCAGGAGUUAGUGUCGUGACCUAUGGUGGUCGGUUCUCUUGCUUCAGGUUCCCGUUGUCCACGAGCUACCGCCAUAUUACGGCUCGCGUAACGACCGCUGCGCCGUCCGGUCGCUCUAGCUUCAGAGCUGCUCCCCAGGAAGCCACCGGGUCGAGUGUCUUCUCCUCCUCUUCCCCUAGCCGUUGGAGCCUACCUUCGGUAUGUUUCUGAUGCAUCUUCAGAGGUUCCCGCAAAAUGGGGAGACACCCUACCAAUGUCGAGUUCACGAAAAGUGUCAGAAAGUUUAGUACAGGUGUAUGACCGACCGGCACCGAUAAGUCUAGUUACAGUCAUUACGAGAAGACCAACCCCGUAUGAGCCCCUAGAGGUAGAAGUCGACGACGAAGCGGAUGGAGUCUUCGAAGAAACGACGAUUAGACCCUGAGUUCCGGAGGUUUCGUAAGAAAUGCCCAGAUUACCUGAGACAUAAGUUCCGGGGGUACAGUAAGAAACUAAGCUGCGGGUAACCUUCUUAUAACUGUUCCCGAAGUAGUCUAAAUUCGUAAGACCUGAAACUGUAUGGAAUGAGGUACCGAAAACACCACUGACCGCCGUAGCUCCACCAGUGCUGUCAGGACCAGUACCCAUGACAUUGAACCGUCCAGAAUCAACAUCGUUAGGGUCAGCGUUAUAGGUACCAUAUACAAGUCUCCAUGAUGCACCUGAGCCGGUCUCUCGAUCAGUCUUAAUUACCUUGUUGCUUCCGUGGACAGUACUUGAUACGUAGUCUUAGCUAAGAACCACACCACUGUUAGUCCCGGAAGCGCCGUUGUCUGUCCAAGUAGGUGUUGUUGGACGUCGAAUAUCUGUUGCUACGCUGUUACAAGAAGGUGUGCCAACGACGCGUCCUCACCCAAGAAUAUUCUCACCUUCGUGAGGUUUCGAACUGGUAUAAGUGUAGAAGUAACAAGGAAUAAAACCAAGGAGGUCCUCAUUAAAGUGGUCCGAAACGCCCAGAAACGGAGAGGAUACGAAAUUCGGACUGGCGCCGUGUUCAAAAGGACUGUGCUAUGAUAAGGAUGGAUCUUUUGAUAUAGUAAAGUCAGCUCUCUUAGUUCGUCAUAUACGUGGAAGGUAGUCUCGGAGGGUGGUAUUAUGGUCUAUUGUCCGGAGGUUAAAGUACCGGUGUCCUCCCUUCUUAUCUGGACGUUCUAAACUUCUAAUUUAUGGCGGGUUUGUGCGGUGAACAAGAGUUUCCUUAGUGAACGUGGAAGGGACGACCUUUGUCUUAACCCCAACAGCCCUCCUGUCCUUCACCCUUUAGUUGUGAGUAGUCGAGUGACAAGGCAGAGCACCUAGGACACCCACCCUCCUAUGAAUAACUGUUGAACCUAUAAACGAGAUAACCAGAGUUCCUAGAUUCUUGAUUUGACUCAUAAUAGGGGGUUCUUGGAUGUGAAAAGUCUCCUUGCCACGCGUUAUUAAACCUGGGGGAACCAGACGUAAGGCUACUACUCUAUACCCUCCGGAACCUUUUCACAGUCGACUUCUCUAGUUAAUCGUCGUGACGACGAGAAGAGCUAUGUCAACACUCACUACUACCGCUAUUGACCUCACAACCUGUCGCGGUCGAGAAGACAGAGCCGUCUCAAGAGGAGGCAUCCUUGUUUUAAGAUCACGAUCUACUUCGUUGCCGCAGGUAGCUGAGGCGCUGACUACGUUAUGAUGUCCCACAGUAGUCCGUCGUCAAGUGAUCAACGUGUCACUAUUGAUAACGAGUGUCCCAGGGUUGACACUGUCUGUCACUGUCCCAGUACCAUGAAAGGAUGCCAUUCGAAGAUCUUAUACUGUGUGGGCGCUUCGACAACCUUCUGUUUGUUAGUCGGAAACGCUUCGAACACCGCCUCAUAACCCGAUUAACGUUCGCCUUGAGGUGUACUAAGAUAGUAAGACACAGCCCCGUACUAUCUGUUCUACUCGUUAAGUUAGUUCUAAAACUCCAUGACUUUCUAACAAUAGGGUCGAAGAACUUGAGGUAGACAUUGUUCUGACUGGAACAGGAGGAGGGAACGACCAACCAAGUUAAUGACCUUUAUUUCUUCCGUACUUGUUGUAACAUUUCAACCAGUCACUAGCGUUUAAAAACCACUAUUCCAACUACCUCUCUUGAUCGAGUUUUACGUAACUGAGCUCAGGAGGUUCUAGUCGUACAGGUGUUCCUAUGACUCUAAGUAACGCAUUCCCUUAUUUCCUAGGUGGAAAUCACACUGUAUACCAUGUGAAGUAUACAUUCAAGAUGACAACUUAUUGUUCGUUUUUUCCUUCACAGUUCUACGGUCAUCUAACGGGUUCCGUAUACUGUUUUUUAAUAACAUGGAACAGGAUUUAUUCCAACCAACAUGGCACACCUUCACGUACACCAGGUCUUACUUCUAUCACGGUUCUUGGAAAAUCCUAAAAUACGUCACUUCAAUACGAAAGAGCACACAAGUAUUCAUUGAGCUUUAAUAACUCUUAGUAACCCAGUGUGUUUUGUAAUGAUAGUAGGUAUACAAGGAUUAUCAAAAAGUAUACAAGGAUUAUCGAGAGGUGUCGUUCUUGAUAAUGACGACUAUGACGCGUCACCCGGCUAGAGUAACCCAGUGUGUUUUGUAUUAGUGAUAGUAGUUACCGACGGAGACGUGACUAAUUAGAAAGGUAUGGAGUUUACCAACGCUCCAACACGUCACAAAAAAGAAUUUUAGGGAAAGUCAUGGAAUCUCGUAUCGUCGUAGUACUGAUCUGUACACGGGUCUAAUUUUAUGGUUCUGUGGUUUGGUCAAAUAAUACCCGUAUGAAUGUCUAAAGAGGUUAAUCAGAAUCACCAAACCCGUGGAUUUGAGUUGUCCUUGUUCACUGUUUAUCAU
rnacentral:rRNA from 1 species